rnacentral:rRNA from 1 species
GACGAACGCUGGCGGCGUGCCUAAUACAUGCAAGUCGAACGCACUCUCGUUUAGAUUGAAGGAGUUUGCUCCUGAUUGAUAAACAUUUGAGUGAGUGGCGGACGGGUGAGUAACACGUGGGUAACCUGCCCUAAAGUGGGUGAUAACAUUUGGAAACAGAUGCUAAUACCGCCUAAAACCUAACACCGCAUGGUGUAGGGUUGAAAGAUGGUUUCGGCUAUCACUUUAGGAUGGACCCGCGGUGCAUUAGUUAGUUGGUGAGGUAAAGGCUCACCAAGACCGUGAUGCAUAGCCGACCUGAGAGGGUAAUCGGCCACACUGGGACUGAGACACGGCCCAGACUCCUACGGGAGGCAGCAGUAGGGAAUCUUCCACAAUGGACGAAAGUCUGAUGGAGCAACGCCGCGUGAGUGAAGAAGGUUUUCGGAUCGUAAAACUCUGUUGUUGGAGAAGAAUGUAUCUGAUAGUAACUGAUCAGGUAGUGACGGUAUCCAACCAGAAAGCCACGGCUAACUACGUG